rnacentral:lncRNA from 1 species
GCUAGUUUUUGAAUUCUAACCAUUGGGGCUUGUCCAAUGGAUGUAGGAGACUAUUUAAAGUGGCACUAUUCAUCAGAUAGAACAACUUUUGAAAGGAAUAUCAAAGAGUACACAAGAAAACAAAAGUGCCCUAAUCUUCUUCAUCCAAGUGCUUCAUUCAAGAAUCAAAGAAAGGGGUUGAGCAGAUUCAAAGAGUCAUCAAG